rnacentral:rRNA from 1 species
CAUGUGGGGCAAGCGUUGUUCGGAAUUACUGGGCAUAAAGGGUGCGUAGGCGGCUUGUUAAGUCAGGGGUGAAAGUUUUCGGCCACCGGAAAAUUGCCUUUGAUACUGGCGAGCUUGAGUGCGUGAGGGGUAACCGGAACGAGUCGUGUAGCGGUGAAAUGCGUAGAUAUGACUCGGAAGGCCAACGGCGAAGGCAGGUUACUGGUACGCAACUGACGCUGAGGCACGAAAGCGUGGGGAGCAAACAGGAUUAGAUACCCUGGUAGUCCACGCCGUAAACGAUGAGCACUAGGUAGGUGCCGAGCUAUUCGGUGCCUGCCGCAGGUAAUUUGGUAAGUGCUCCGCCUGGGGAGUAUGGUCGCAAGGCUG